UAAAAGUGUCCUGACUUGAAUAUAGUACCCAACCAGUAACAAGCAGUGUCCUCACCAGCCAGUAAAGUAGCUACAACCUUAAGUUAAUAGCCGCAGUUCACAUAGCCCUGAUUUGCAGGAUGGACCCUACCAGUAAGCAAAUAAGAAAAAAUGUCAAUAUGAUAAUAAUUAUUAAUUAAUAGGACAUUUGGUAAUGGAUUGGCUACAUAUAACAUACCUUUUUCCAGUUUGGUGUUGUGGUGUCUUAGCAUUCUGCUUGAAAAUUGUAAGGCAAAUCUUAUAAAACUCAACAAAGAACCACUUCCUGGUGGGAUUGCUCACCUCUUGCCAACCAGUUCUACCUACCACUAGCAUCUUCCCCAAACAACCAAGCAAAGCAAUGCUGUCUGGAGUGUCAGUCAUAAAAUCGGGAUAUUCUGCAAAACCUCGAGUGGCAGGGCAGCGGGGCUUCCAUGGCUGGCCCAUUCCAAUCCAUUCCUAUGAGGAAUCAGGUGCCCUAGUGCUGAAGAUCAGAAGGAAAUAGUGAUUCCAUACCAUCCAGUAAAGUCUCUCUCCUCACACACAUACAUAUGUACGGAAGAACAGAGUUGUCAAGAAAGUGCAACCUCCACUCCACAUGGAAGCUCAGGACACAGCAUUUUGUUCUUGGAAGGCGAAUCAAACUGUGCAAGGU
rnacentral:lncRNA from 11 species